rnacentral:rRNA from 1 species
CAACUCGCCUACAUGAAGCUGGAAUUAGCUAGUAAUCACAGGUCAGCAUACUGUGGUGAAUACGUUCCCGGGCCUUGUACACACCGCCCGUCACACCAUGAGAGUUGAGAAUACCCGAAGUCCAUGUCAAAGUGGCCGAAGGUAGGCUUGAUGAUUGGGGGUGAAGUCGUAACAAGGUACC